rnacentral:lncRNA from 1 species
AUGAUAGACCCUUCGGUAGAAGCCAGCACACCUCCUGUGGUAACACCUGAAGCUAGAGCUUCUGUUGCCGAAGGUGCAGUAGAAACUACAAUUGAAGCUCAAGCAGUACAAACCAACAGCACUGACUCAUGGUUCAAAGUCCCACUUGUUGCAACGGUAGAACCCUUAUUGGAAACGACAGUAGAACCACCAGUAGAGGCCGUCGCCUCUCCACUAGAGAGUGAAGCUGCUGUUGUUGAAGCUACAGUAGAGCCUACAGUAGAAACUGAACACACUGCCUUCGUCCAAAAUGAACAAGAAUCUGCGGUCUUACCUUUGAAAACCAAAGAAGAAUCUACAAUAGAAUCUAUAGUAGAAUCAUCCUCCGGGAAUGUCGCUGUUGAAGAGGGCGUGAACGAAUCUGAACACAUGACUUUAGAGUCUGUGACACUGCAUUCAGUUCAGGCUUCGGUGGAGUCUUUGGAAACCGACGAGCUCCUCCAGACAACAUUAAGUCUUGAUGAAAGAGCAGAGAUACGACUCCGGGAGUUGUUGUCGGUCCAGACGGAGAUCGGCGGCGAGCACAAAGCUGAGAACUCGGGUGGAGAUGGGGGCGAACAUUUGAAAGUUCUUUCACGGUGGGAUUCUCUGUCUGACGACCUUCACGAGUUAGAAGGAGAAACCGCCACAAUGGUGAGUGAGCUCCUCUGUCGAGUUCCCGCAGAGCUGUCCAAAACUGACGCCGCGGUAAAAAAGAGUUUUGCCUUCCAUCAAACUGUGGGAACUAACGGAGAGCGUUCGCAGAUGGAGGAGAAGGCGACUGAGGAAGAAGAUAUGGCGCUGGUAUCGGUUACUUCAGCCGAGGUGGAAACCGAAGUUCUGCAAGAAGCAAGUGAUGCACUUGAGGAAGAAGCGGACGUACCAGCAAAAGACGAGAAGAUGGAAGUUGAGAUGGCAAUAGAGGAUGUUGUUUUUAAGGACACGGCAGAGGCUGAAAUUUUAACUCUGGGUUCUUUCUCUGAAGCAACCGAAGUGAUAGCUGAGGUACCCGUUAUAACGGAGGCCGUGUUCGGCUCUGAGCAACAGCCACCUGACCCUCUGCUUCUGGAGCUGGUACCGCAGAUUGAUCAGGAAGCUGAGAAACGGUCCGGAGAGCAGGAAGGAAGUGUCUCGGAGGGCACGCCUCUUGACUCUGUGACGAUGGCUGAAGUUGAGGCCUCUCUGGGAACUCUGGAGAACGAGUCCCUGGGCGAAAGCUCAGCUCACCUGGAGAAGGACGCUCAAGUUCUCGCCGGAGAGACGAGGGUGGAGGUAGAGGAAGGAACGGCGUGCGAGGAGAGGACUGAUGCUCUGAAUGUCGAGUCUCUCGAAGCUGACGAGCUAUCUGCAGAUCUGACUGACGCACUGGAGGAGGAGCUGCUCUUUGUUCCCGGGCAUGUGGCAGGCGAAACAGAAACUCAGACCGGUCAGGAGGUCGUAACAGCAAAUAUUUUAGAUGGUAUGUUUAACAUUGAGCCCCAACAGCCCCGAAAUAUUGCUAUCAAAUCUGAACACAAAUACAUAUGA